GGCCUCGUAUCUCAGAUGGCUAGAGCGUUGGCCGUACUAAAGCCUUCCCCUUGCUGGCGUGGGUUAGAAUCCUACCGAGGCCG
rfam:Schistocephalus solidus strain NST_G2 genome assembly, scaffold: SSLN_scaffold0009961